rnacentral:lncRNA from 1 species
AUGCCACAUUACUGCGAAUCUCCCUCUCCUAACAUAAACUUCCCCUCCGCGGCCUUCCAAUCGCCGGGCCGGUUUCCCACGCGGCCGGGCUCAGGGGCACCGCGCAGGGGCGUCCAGCAACCCGCGAGCCCCAGCGCGGCCCCUAGGCUGGCACGAAGGUGUCGCACGCCCUCUCCCCCAGCGACCGCCGCGCCCGCCGCCCCACCCCAGCCCGCGCGCCCGCCCCCGCCCACCCUCCGGCGCGGCGCUGACCCAGCGCCCUCCCGGCCGCCGCGGGAACGGCAGGGCCGCGCAGGCUGCCUCUGCUCCCCCCCGCCCCAGAAUCCCGCGGCUCGGCUCCCCCGGGCGGGGAGGCGGGGCGGGAGGGGCCCCGGGGAAGGCGUCAAGGACUCGGCUGCGGGCCGCCCGCGUCUCGGGGCUCCCUUCGGGGGCGCAGGGCGGGGGGCUGGGCUCUCCGCCGCCGCCGCUCCCCCGGCCCCGGGGCCUCGGCAGGGGUCUGCCGCUCCCGCUUCCUUCCUCUCCUGCAAGUUCGCCUGCUUUCCUACAGAACUAGCGCGGGCGGGCGCCCCUUCUCCCGGGGCUCCGAGGCGAGGCGCGCGUCUCCGCCUCGCCCCCAUUCAUCCGGCCAAGGUGAAGCCCGGGGAGGGAGGGCGCCCGCGCCGCGCCCGCGAAGGGCGUCGCUCCCCACCCCAAACAAUGAUGGCCCUUCCUUACUCGCCCAGCCCUCCGCUGCCCCACCCCCGCGCCCAGGGCAUCGCACGCCCGGGCUGCCCCUGCCCGGACCCCAUUGUUGCCCGGCGCGGGCGAUGCCCGGGGCCCGGGGGCGGUCCCCGCGAGCGGCCGCGCCGCCAGCCUCCCAGCCCCUGCCGGCCGCCGGAGCCGGCUCCGCCCACACCUUUCCAACUUAGCCGGCGGGCGAGCCGCGGGGACUGCUCGGGUGCCCGACCCCCUCCCUGCGCGCCCCCACCCGGCCGGGGAGGGGGCGGGAGGCCGAGCGGGCGCCGCGCUUUCUGUGUCUCCGAAUUCUCUUCCUAA